rnacentral:rRNA from 1 species
GAUGAACGCUAGCUACAGGCUUAACACAUGCAAGUCGAGGGGAAACGAUAUUGGAAGCUUGCUUCCGAUAGGCGUCGACCGGCGCACGGGUGAGUAACGCGUAUCCAACCUGCCCAUCACUUGGGAAUAACCUUGCGAAAGUAAGACUAAUGCCCAAUGACAUUUAUAGAAGGCAUCUGAAAUGAAUUAAAGAUUUAUCGGUGAUGGAUGGGGAUGCGUCUGAUUAGCUUGUUGGCGGGGUAACGGCCCACCAAGGCGACGAUCAGUAGGGGUUCUGAGAGGAAGGUCCCCCACAUUGGAACCGAGACACGGUCCAAAACUCCUACGGGAGGCAGCAGUGAGGAAUAUUGGUCAAUGGACGUAAGUCUGAACCAGCCAAGUAGCGUGCAGGAUGACGGCCCUAUGGGUUGUAAACUGCUUUUAUGCGGGGAUAAAGUUAGGGAUGUAUCCCUUUUUGCAGGUACCGCAUGAAUAAGGACCGGCUAAUUCCGUG